GACGAACGCUGGCGGCGUGCUUAACACAUGCAAGUCGAACGAAGAGCGAUGGAAGCUUGCUUCUAUCAAUCUUAGUGGCGAACGGGUGAGUAACGCGUAAUCAACCUGCCCUUCAGAGGGGGACAACAGUUGGAAACGACUGCUAAUACCGCAUACGAUCUAACCUCGGCAUCGAGGAUAGAUGAAAGGUGGCCUCUACAUGUAAGCUAUCACUGAAGGAGGGGGUUGCGUCUGAUUAGCUAGUUGGAGGGGUAACGGCCCACCAAGGCGAUGAUCAGUAGCCGGUCUGAGAGGAUGAACGGCCACAUUGGGACUGAGACACGGCCCAGACUCCUACGGGAGGCAGCAGUGGGGAAUCUUCCGCAAUGGACGAAAGUCUGACGGAGCAACGCCGCGUGAGUGAUGACGGCCUUCGGGUUGUAAAGCUCUGUUAAUCGGGACGAGAGGCCUUCUUGCGAAUAGUUAGAAGGAUUGACGGUACCGGAAUAGAAAGCCACGGCUAACUACGUG
rnacentral:rRNA from 1 species